UGGACUUGGCACAGCCUAGAACUAACACAGUUCAGAUUCGCUUUGCCUGGAGGACUGGAAGGAUGGGCCUGCCUGGGGUAUGAGAGACCAGAGCUUUCUGGCAAAAAUCCUCAGCCCAAGGUUAGGCACAGUGCAAAUUUGGUCCCAGGACAUCAGGCCAGUUUGAGAGGCCCAAAGAGCUAUGCCUGAGUCCCAGAGGCCAGUGGAUUAGUUCAAGAACAUUAAACCAAGGUGUGUGUUGCAAGAAAUUUCGCUAAGGUGUUUGUUGCAAAAGAUACAUUAAAAUCUUAAGUCCUGGGGCCUGUGAAGUGGCCUUCUUUGGAAAUAGGAUUUUUGCAGAUGACAUCGAGAUGUGAGCUAGGAUGAGGUCAUCAGGGUGGGUCCUAAUCCAACAUGACUGAUGUCCUUACUGAAGAACAUCUGAAGAGGAGGAGAGACACACGGGGUCAUGGCUGUGUGAAGACGGAGGUGGAGACCGGGCUGACGCACCAGCAAUGCCAGAAGAGGGAAGAGGGGAGGGAAGCUUCCCAGGAGGGAGCACGGCCCUGCCGAUACCGUGAUGUCAGGCUUCUGGGAUCCAGAACUAACUGGAUUCAGCACCGCAAAACUGAAACCGCCUCCAGAAAAGAGCCUCUUGCGAGAACGCAGAGGCUUGCCUUUCUCUCCUGUCGCUGAGAGUCCCUGGCUGGCUUGGGGACCCCAUGGUGCUGCUCGCUCUUGCCUGUUGCUGGUGGGGGCUUCCUGCUCCUGACCUCAUACUACCUCUGCGGCAGAGGGCCUGAGACAGAGGGGAUCCCUGCCCAUCCCGCCAGCCCUCUUCUCAGGAAGCUUCUGGAAUCUCCACCCAAAAACUUCACUGACAUUCUGCUGACCAGAGCGUGGUCAUAUGGCCACCCCAUCUCACAAGGGGGCUGGAAAAAUGCAUUUUCUUCAGCUGCGCACCUUAUACCCCACAGCAGUACCUACGGGCCUGGUAGUGAGGAAGAGGAUGGGUAACGGAAGUUAGGUCAGCAGCUAGCAGUGUUGGCCACCAGGGGAGAGUCACAGCCACUUUCUGGGCCUGGUGGUGACUUCACAUUGGUUGCCAGGAGGAUGAUUUUGAAGAUACCGCCUGUCGAGCCCUCUUGUAACUAAUCUUCCAGUGUCUGCCGCUGAAGGUGUCCAGUAGCUAACUUCAGGACUCUGUCAUCCCCUCUUCAUUUGGGGGAAUUUCCUCUACUUACUUGAAACAUUCAGAUUUUCCACUGUCAGUUUUGGGUGAAUGAACUAUGCUUAUUACUUUUAAUAAAAGUCUUCAAAAUCU
rnacentral:lncRNA from 1 species